GCCCUGGUGGCUCAUUGGUUAAGCAUUUGGCUUCUAACCAAAAGAUUGGCAGUUCAAAUCCACCAGGUGCU
rfam:Loxodonta africana unplaced genomic scaffold scaffold_10, whole genome shotgun sequence.